rnacentral:rRNA from 1 species
CACGUAGGGCGCAAGCGUUGUCCGGAAUUAUUGGGCGUAAAGAGCCCGUAGGCGGUCUGCCACGUCCGCUGUGAAAACCUAGGGCUUAACCCUGGGCUUGCAGUAGAUACGGGCAGACUAGAGGUAGGUAGGGGAGAAUGGAAUUCCCGGUGUAGCGGUGAAAUGCGCAGAUAUCGGGAGGAACACCGGUGGCGAAGGCGGUUCUCUGGGCCUUACCUGACGCUGAGGAGCGAAAGCGUGGGGAGCAAACAGG